rnacentral:lncRNA from 1 species
GUGUAAAAUCGUGAAAACUUUUUAAUCCGACUCCAAUUGAUUCUAAAGUCUAUAAAUAAGCUAUUGGGGUUCUCUAACAGAUCAAGCAUCACGAAAAUACAUGUUUGAGAAAUCCUAGAGGCUCGGAUUUCAUCUAAAAUCUAUUUUCUACAUAUUAGCCUCUUUUAGGUCAAAUCGAGAUAUUGAAAUUUCAUCUAUAUGUCGAUUUGAUCUUCGCUUCGCUUGGAGUUUUCUUUCCUGGUUUUCAUCGAUACUCUAAGCGAAGGAUCACCAUACACAUGAUGUUCUUCAUGACGGCGUCGUGGAUUCGGCGUGAUUGACGGCGGUUCGUGGAUUCAGAUCGUGAGCUUCGUGGAUUCGGAGUGGAGGCGUUUCGUGGAUUCGGAACAUGGCGUUCGUGGAUUCGAACGUGAGGGCGUGGACAGCCCGGAGGGUAGCGCGAAGAUUCAUAGGAGGUUAAGAGAGGUUGAGUCCGUGGAGUCGGUAAUCACCUUGUAAUCUUUUCUCUUAGUGAAUUAUUUUUUCGCGUGUUGGUCCCGUGGGUUUUUCUCCAAGUUAGAGUUUUCCCACGUAAAUCUCGGUGUGAUUUUUAUUUUUCGCAUUUAUUUUUAUCGCAUUGAGAUUUGUGGUUUUUGGCUAUUACACCUAUUCACCCCCCUCUAGGUGUUAGAUACAAUCUAGAUAGAUCCUUGGGCUCCUCAAAACUUUCAAUUGGUAUCAGAGCGGGAUCUAGAUAUAUUGAUAUCUAAUGGCCGAAGGCGGUAACAUUAAUCGACCACCACUCUUCGAUGGCACGAAUUAUG